rnacentral:rRNA from 1 species
AUUGAACGCUGGCGGAAUGCUUUACACAUGCAAGUCGAACGGCAGCACGGGUGCUUGCACCUGGUGGCGAGUGGCGAACGGGUGAGUAAUACAUCGGAACGUGCCCAAUCGUGGGGGAUAACGUAGCGAAAGUUACGCUAAUACCGCAUACGAUCUACGGAUGAAAGCGGGGGAUCGCAAGACCUCGCGCGAAUGGAGCGGCCGAUGUCAGAUUAGGUAGUUGGUGGGGUAAAGGCUCACCAAGCCAACGAUCUGUAGCUGGUCUGAGAGGACGACCAGCCACACUGGAACUGAGACACGGUCCAGACUCCUACGGGAGGCAGCAGUGGGGAAUUUUGGACAAUGGGCGCAAGCCUGAUCCAGCCAUUCCGCGUGCAGGAUGAAGGCCU